UUUCCUUGUAAUUCGGGGAAUUGGCCCCGGAGUAUCCACGACCCGACCUAAUCGGGUGUAUCCAGGGAAA
rnacentral:ncRNA from 1 species